rnacentral:rRNA from 1 species
UACGUAGGGUCCGAGCGUUGUCCGGAAUUAUUGGGCGUAAAGGGCUCGUAGGCGGUUUGUCGCGUCGGGAGUGAAAAUCCAGGGCUUAACUCUGGACUGGCUUCCGAUACGGGCAGACUAGAGGUAUGCAGGGGAGAACGGAAUUCCUGGUGUAGCGGUGAAAUGCGCAGAUAUCAGGAGGAACACCGGUGGCGAAGGCGGUUCUCUGGGCAUUACCUGACGCUGAGGAGCGAAAGUGUGGGGAGCGAACAGG